rnacentral:rRNA from 1 species
GCUCCCUUAGGUCAGCGGCGGACGGGUGAGUAACACGUGGGUAACCUGCCUGUAAGACUGGGAUAACUCCGGGAAACCGGGGCUAAUACCGGAUGCUUGAUUGAACCGCAGGGUUCAAUCAUAAAAGGUGGCUUUUAGCUACCACUUACAGAUGGACCCGCGGCGCAUUAGCUAGUUGGUGAGGUAACGGCUCACCAAGGCGACGAUGCGUAGCCCACCUGAGAGGGUGAUCGGCCACACUGGGACUGAGACACGGCCCAGACUCCUACGGGAGGCAGCAGUAGGGAAUCUUCCGCAAUGGACGAAAGUCUGACGGAGCAACGCCCCGUGAGUGAUGAAGGUUUUCGGAUCGUAAAACUCUGUUGUUAGGGAAGAACAAGUACCGUUCGAAUAGGGCGGUACCUUGACGGUACCUAACCAGAAAGCCACGGCUAACUACGUGCCAGCAGCCGCGGUAAUACGUAGGUGGCAAGCGUUGUCCGGAAUUAUUGGGCGUAAAGCGCGCGCAGGCGGUUUCUUAAGUCUGAUGUGAAAGCCCCCGGCUCAACCGGGGAGGGUCAUUGGAAACUGGGGAACUUGAGUGCAGAAGAGGAGAGUGGAAUUCCACGUGUAGCGGUGAAAUGCGUAGAGAUGUGGAGGAACACCAGUGGCGAAGGCGACUCUCUGGUCUGUAACUGACGCUGAGGCGCGAAAGCGUGGGGAGCGAACAGGAUUAGAUACCCUGGUAGUCCACGCCGUAAACGAUAAGUGCUAAGUGUUAAAGGGUUUCCGCCCUUUAGUGCUGCAGCAAACGCAUUAAGCACUCCGCCUGGGGAGUACGGUCGCAAGACUGAAACUCAGAGGAAUUGACGGGGGCCCGCACAAGCAGUGGAACAUGUGGUUUAAUUCGAAGCAACGC